rnacentral:rRNA from 1 species
GAUCAUGCUCAGGAUGAACGCUAGCUACAGGCUUAACACAUGCAAGUCGAGGGGCAGCAUGGACCCAGCUUUGCUGGGUUUGAUGGCGACCGGCGCACGGGUGAGUAACGCGUAUCCAACCUGCCCUUUACUCCGGGAUAGUCUCCUGAAAGGGAGUUUAAUACCGGAUGUGUUUGUCUUUCCGCAUGGGAGCGACAAAUAAAGAUUAAUUGGUAAAGGAUGGGGAUGCGUCCCAUUAGCUUGUUGG